rnacentral:rRNA from 1 species
GAUGAACGCUGGCGGCGUGCCUAAUACAUGCAAGUCGAGCGAACAGACGAGGAGCUUGCUCCUCUGACGUUAGCGGCGGACGGGUGAGUAACACGUGGAUAACCUACCUAUAAGACUGGGAUAACUUCGGGAAACCGGAGCUAAUACCGGAUAAUAUAUUGAACCGCAUGGUUCAAUAGUGAAAGACGGUUUUGCUGUCACUUAUAGAUGGAUCCGCGCCGCAUUAGCUAGUUGGUAAGGUAACGGCUUACCAAGGCAACGAUGCGUAGCCGACCUGAGAGGGUGAUCGGCCACACUGGAACUGAGACACGGUCCAGACUCCUACGGGAGGCAGCAGUAGGGAAUCUUCCGCAAUGGGCGAAAGACUGACGGAGCAACGCCGCGUGAGUGAUGAAGGUCUUAGGAUCGUAAAACUCUGUUAUUAGGGAAGAACAAAUGUGUAAGUAACUAUGCACGUCUUGACGGUACCUAAUCAGAAAGCCACGGCUAACUACGUG